AGGAACAACAACAGUGAUGGCGGCCAGCUCUCCAGCCCUUGAGUCAGCUCCUGCAGAAACUAGGGAGCUCUCAGUCUGCAGGGCCUGGAUGCUCCGGGGGUGG
rnacentral:pre_miRNA from 1 species